rnacentral:misc_RNA from 1 species
UUAAGUUCAGCGGGUAUCCCUACCUGAUCCGAGGUCAACCAUAGAAAAUUAGGGGUUCUGGCAGGAUACCUCUAAGGCUCUAUAGCGAGAGAAGUUACUACGCUUAGAGCCAAAAGGCACCGCCACUAGUUUUAAGAACUGUCUUGUGACAGGCUCUAACACCAAGCUAAGCUUGAGGGUUAUAAUGACGCUCGAACAGG